rnacentral:rRNA from 1 species
CCUAUGGGGUGGAUAGGACUGCGAGUCGAGCGUCUCUAGUUAUGGUGAGACGCGGCAGACGGCUCAGUAACACGUGGCUAACCUGCCCUUAGAACAGAGAUACCCCCGGGAAACUGGGGCUAAUCCCUGAUAGGCGUGGGCUCCUAGAAUGGACCUACACUGAAAGGACGUCUGAAUCAUGCUUUAGGCGUCGUCUAAGGAUGAGGCCGCAACCGAUCAGGUUGUUGGCGAGGUAACGGCUCACCAAGCCUAUAACCGGUACGGGCCGCGGGAGCGGUAGCCCGGAGAUGGACACUGAGACAAGGGUCCAGGCCCUACGGGGCGCAGCAGUUACGAAAACUCCGCAAUGCACGAAAGUGUGACGGGGCUAUCCCGAGUGCCGUCCGCUGAGGAUGGCUUUUCUCCAGUUUAAGGAGCUGGAGGAAUAAGGAGAGGGCAAGUCUGGUGUCAGCCGCCGCGGUAAUACCAGCUCUCCGAGUGGUAGGGACGAUUAUUGGGCUUAAAGCGUCCGUAGCCGGCUCAGCAAGUCCUUCGUUAAAUCCAGCGAUUCAAUCGUUGGACUGCGGGGGAUACUGCUGGGCUAGGGGACGAGAGAGGCCGACGGUAUUCUCGGAGUAGGGGUGAAAUCCUAUAAUUCCGGGAGGACCACCAGUGGCGAAGGCUGUCGGCUAGAACGAGCUCGACGGUGAGGGACGAAAGCUGGGGGAGCGAACCGGAUUAGAUACCCGGGUAGUCCCAGCUGUAAACGAUGCGGGCUAGGUGUUAGGGUGGCUACGUGCCACUCUAGUGCCGCAGCGAAAGCAUUAAGCCCGCCGCCUGGGGGAGUACGGCCGCAAGGCUGAAACUUAAAGGAAUUGGCGGGGGAGCACCACAAAGGCGUGAAGCGUGCGGUUUAAUUGGAGUCAACGCCGGGAAUC